GCUGCUAUAUCGGUCAAUAGUAUAAGACCCACAUCCAAAGAACUAUCCUAACUACAAAUUUAUUUCAUUGAUCUUGCACUUGCCAAAAGCCCCCUCGCGUUGCUUCCAGUAUCACGGGCCUGUUACCGAUUUUAUCCCCUGCCAUCAAGAGCUUCUCCAGGCCCAGACACCGUGACUAGCAGAUAUACAUCACUCCACCAGUCGCUGCAAUAGUGCUAUAAUUAUAGUUUGGUUUGCUGUUCUUAUUUGACUAUUCAAGUUAUCAGCAAAUGCCUAGUCACAACAUAUCACACUGCCAAAAAAGUAUAUAGACACCAGUUUUUCACAUUUGUGCUUUUCGCAGCAGGCUCUUCAGGUAGCCAAUUGAGUAUGGAUAGGUACUGUUGCCGACAAGAAUAUUUCUGCUACACCGCACGAAACUAGGAUUUCUCUUUUGUUGUGACUGGGCUAUGUGAAAGAGCUUUCUGGGGAGGAACACCGAAUGAAACGAUUUUCAGUGAUUCUGUUGCCUGAAUUGUAUUUCGUUUUGUCAGACUCAUCUCUUCUUCAAGGCAGAGGAGGCAUCUAUGUGCUGUGUGCUAGUCUUCAAUAGGCAGCCCCUAAGCCUGCCUACAUGUAGAGCCAACGAAGGUUCGUGACACCACCCACUUCAACAAUAAUGGAAGAUUCUGG
rnacentral:sRNA from 2 species